CCACCAAAGCGACGAUCAGUAGCCGGCCUGAGAGGGUGGACGGCCACAUUGGGACUGAGACACGGCCCAGACUCCUACGGGAGGCAGCAGUGGGGAAUAUUGCACAAUGGGCGAAAGCCUGAUGCAGCAACGCCGCGUGAAGGAUGAAGGGUUUCGGCUCGUAAACUUCUAUCAAUAGGGAAGAAAAUGACGGUACCUGACUAAGAAGCACCGGCUAAAUAC
rnacentral:rRNA from 1 species